rnacentral:rRNA from 1 species
AGGACAGCUGAGAGGGUGAAACUCCCGUCCGCCUGGUAGAAUGAGUCUUUGUCAACGAGUCGAGUUGUUUGGGAUUGCAGCUCUAAUUUGGUGGUAAAUUCCAUCUAAAGCUAAAUAUUGGUGGGAGACCGAUAGCGUACAAGUACCGUGAGGGAAAGAUGCAAAGAACUUUGAAAAGAGAGUUAAAGAGUACCUGAAAUUGCUGAAACGGAAGCGAAGGAAACCAGUGUUUGUUGGUUCAUAUUUCCCUGGCCACCUGUGGUUUGGGCGCUGUGAGCUUGCGUGGGUUUGGGUUGGUUGAUCCCUUUGGAAGAGCGCAGU